rnacentral:rRNA from 1 species
UACAGAGGGUGCGAGCGUUGUUCGGAAUUACUGGGCGUAAAGCGCGCGCAGGCGGCCCGCGAGGUGUCACGUGAAAGCCCCGGGCUCAACCCGGGAGGGUCGUGGCAAACCGGCGGGCUUGAGGCCGGUAGAGGUGGGUGGAACUCCUGGUGGAGUGGUGAAAUGCGUAGAGAUCAGGAAGAACACCCGUGGCGAAGGCGGCCCACUGGGCCGGUACUGACGCUGAGGCGCGAAGGCGUGGGGAGCGAACGGG